AACCGGAAGGAUUAUAUUUCCGGCGAUUUCUGCUCAAUGACUUUUAAAUAGCCGCAGUACUUUGACUGUGCAAAGGUAGCAUAAUAAUUUGGCUUUUAAUUGAAGUCUAGUAUGAAUGAAAAAUUGGGGAAAUACUGUAUCGGUUAAAUAGUUUAAAUUUAAUUAAAAGGUGAAAAUGCCUUUAAUCACAUAAUAGACGAGAAGACCCUUGAAAUUUGAAGUAUUAUUUUGUUGGGGCGACAGGGUAGCACAUGGAACCUGCUUUAUUGAAUAUGUAUUAGUAUUUAAAGUAAAAAAAAAUUACUCAAGGGAUAACAGCAUAAUUAUAAGUAGUUUGUGACCUCGAUGUUGGAUUAGGAAUAUCUAACUCAGAAGGUUAAGAUUUAGGCUCUGUUCGAGCGGUUUUUCCUACGUGAUCUGUUUCCCAAAACCCGGA
rnacentral:rRNA from 1 species